AGACCCGAAACCCGGUGAUCUAGCCAUGGGCAGGUUGAAGGUUGGGUAACACUAACUGGAGGACCGAACCGACUAAUGUUGAAAAAUUAGCGGAUGACCUGUGGCUGGGGGUGAAAGGCCAAUCAAACCGGGAGAUAGCUGGUUCUCCCCGAAAGCUAUUUAGGUAGCGCCUCGUGAAUUCAUCUCCGGGGGUAGAGCACUGUUUCGGCCAGGGGGCCAUCCCGGCUUACCAACCCGAUGCAAACUGCGAAUACCGGAGAAUGUUAUCACGGGAGACACACGGCGGGUGCUAACGUCCGUCGUGAAGAGGGAAACAACCCAGACCGCCAGCUAAGGUCCCAAAGUCAUGGUUAAGUGGGAAACGAUGUGGGAAGGCCCAGACAGCCAGGAUGUUGGCUUAGAAGCAGCCAUCAUUUAAAGAAAGCGUAAUAGCUCACUGGUCGAGUCGGCCUGCGCGGAAGAUGUAACGGGGCUAAACCAUGCACUGAAGCUGCGGCAGCGAACGUAUCACUUAAAGCGAUUCAGCGGAUGACGAUUGACGGAGCGAAGCGACGUCAAAGCGUUUUACAACGUCGAGUCGGUUUAAGGA
rnacentral:rRNA from 1 species